rnacentral:rRNA from 1 species
AUACGUAGGGGGCGAGCGUUGUCCGGAAUGAUUGGGCGUAAAGGGCGCGUAGGCGGCCCGGUAAGUCUGGAGUGAAAGUCCUGUUUUUAAGAUGGGACUUGCUUUGGAUACUGUCGGGCUUGAGUGCAGGAGAGGUAAGUGGAAUUCCCAGUGUAGCGGUGAAAUGCGUAGAGAUUGGGAGGAACACCAGUGGCGAAGGCGACUUACUGGACUGUAACUGACGCUGAGGCGCGAAAGUGUGGGGAGCAAACAGGAUUAGAUACCCUGGUAGUCCACACUGUAAACGAUGAAUGCUAGGUGUAGGGGGUAUCGACCCCUUCUGUGCCGCAGUCAACACAAUAAGCAUUCCGCCUGGGGAGUACGGCCGCAAGGUUGAAACUCAAAGGAAUUGGCGGGG